ACGGGUGAGUAACGCGUGGGUAACCUACCCUGUACACACGGAUAACAUACCGAAAGGUAUGCUAAUACGGGAUAAUAUAUUUGAGAGGCAUCUCUUGAAUAUCAAAGGUGAGCCAGUACAGGAUGGACCCGCGUCUGAUUAGCUAGUUGGUAAGGUAACGGCUUACCAAGGCGACGAUCAGUAGCCGACCUGAGAGGGUGAUCGGCCACAUUGGAACUGAGACACGGUCCAAACUCCUACGGGAGGCAGCAGUGGGGAAUAUUGCACAAUGGGCGAAAGCCUGAUGCAGCAACGCCGCGUGAGUGAUGAAGGCCUUCGGGUCGUAAAACUCUGUCCUCAAGGAAGAUAAUGACGGUACUUGAGGAGGAAGCCCCGGCUAACUACGUGCCAGCAGCCGCGGUAAUACGUAGGGGGCUAGCGUUAUCCGGAUUUACUGGGCGUAAAGGGUGCGUAGGCGGUCUUUCAAGUCAGGAGUGAAAGGCUACGGCUCAACCGUAGUAAGCUCUUGAAACUGGGAGACUUGAGUGCAGGAGAGAAGAGUGGAAUUCCUAGUGUAGCGGUGAAAUGCGUAGAUAUUAGGAGGAACACCAGUUGCGAAGGCGGCUCUCUGGACUGUAACCGACGCUGAGGCACGAAAGCGUGGGGAGCAAACAGGAUUAGAUACCCUGGUAGUCCACGCUGUAAACGAUGAGUACUAGGUGUCGGGGGUUACCCCCUUCGGUGCCGCAGCUAACG
rnacentral:rRNA from 1 species